ensembl:lncRNA
GCCGAUGUGGAGCGCCUCUAUUGGUGUGGCUCAACGGGUAUUUGAACAUAGCGGAGAGCCUCAGAUCCUGGGCUGACACCAGAAGAGGAUGAGCAAAAAGGGAGAGAGAGCGUGACCAUAUCCUGGCAUCACCGGACAGACCCGAGACCCGAGUCCAGUCUCAGCCCCAGGUCCGGUCCGGUCCGGUCCGGUCCGGCCCGGCCCCGGCCCCCCUCCAGUCCUGCUUUGCUCAGCAGCCCAGCCCGCUCCAGGAGCCAUCAGGGUUAGUGCACUUUUGGCAUUGCCGUCUGUGCUGAGGCCUGAGCUCGGCUCUCUCUGGGUAGAGGUUAUUUAUUCCCCCGUGCCCACAUAGGUUCCUUAGGUCUUGCAAAAAAAAAAAAAGAAGAAGAAAAAAAACAGCUACGCACUCCCGACGCUACGCAAUCCAAUAACCCACUCAGCAAGUUCCCCUGCCCAGAGCCUUCUCCAAAUAACACAGCGGAUUUAUACCGCUCGAUAGGACGAUUACAUCGACUUCACUCUCCGAUGUACUAGCGAUUUUAACAAAAUGGAAAUGUUUGGUUGCUUCCAUGUUUUUCUACUGGGUGACAGAAGGGGGGAGGGGUAACUACGGCCUCUGGCUCCUCUCACUGUUUUAUCUCUUUAAGGAAUCUCAGACAGUUUUAUCUUUGAAAGGUAUCUUUAUUUUUUUUCUUCAGAAACAUAGCAAAUAUUGUAUAUCCGGUGAGCGGUGGCCCCAGAGUGUAGGGGGAAGGGUGCUUUCUGAGGCGCAAACAUACUCUCUUAGACACACCGAGCACACACACCAAAUCAAGAUUCUAAGAAGAACAGGAAGGCUGCGCUGUUUGACUCAUAAUUCAAAAUACUGCACGUUGAGCAUUUUCCCGCAGUUCAAUGGAGGACACAAAGCUAAACUAAAUGGUAACCAAUAUUCUGCUCUUAUA